rnacentral:rRNA from 1 species
AACGAACGCUGGCGGCAUGCCUAACACAUGCAAGUCGAACGAGAUCUUCGGGUCUAGUGGCGCACGGGUGCGUAACGCGUGGGAAUCUGCCCUUUGGUUCGGAAUAACAGUUGGAAACGACUGCUAAUACCGGAUGAUGGCGAAAGUCCAAAGAUUUAUCGCCAGAGGAUGAGCCCGCGUAGGAUUAGCUAGUUGGUGUGGUAAAGGCGCACCAAGGUGACGAUCCUUAGCUGGUCUGAGAGGAUGAUCAGCCACACUGGGACUGAGACACGGCCCAGACUCCUACGGGAGGCAGCAGUGGGGAAUAUUGGACAAUGGGCGAAAGCCUGAUCCAGCAAUGCCGCGUGAGUGAUGAAGGCCUUAGGGUUGUAAAGCUCUUUUACCCGGGAUGAUAAUGACAGUACCGGGAGAAUAAGCUCCGGCUAACUCCGUGCCAGCCGCCGCAGUAA